rnacentral:rRNA from 1 species
ACCUCGGAUCAGGUAGGAAUACCCGCUGAACUUAAGC